GCUAGCUGGUGAUAGCGCGCGUGACCACAGACCUCUGACCCUCAUAGUCUCAGCAGCUGUCUGCAGGCCCUCCACGGGACCGCAGCCUGGGAGGGCAGGAGGCCCUGCACCUGCGGCCGGUCUGACCUGCUCCUCACCUCCCUGCCUGCCUCCUCCGUGCUGGGCGCCGCCGCGGGCGUUGCGGCCGGUGCCCAGCUGCAGAUCCGCAGGCGAUCGCACUCCUGGCGGCCCCAGCUUUAAGCAGGCAGCGGCCGAUCCGCCCUGCUCGAGGGCUCAGGGCUGACCCAGGUGAGCCCCGGCGGGGAGGGCGGGCGCCUCGGCCUCCCCGCCCCGGAACCCUGCACCGCCCAGAGCCGCCACGCCUCCCGGCUGUAGGCUCCGCAUCUGUAAAAUGGGCCGAUGAACCCCAAGGGUCGGCUCAGACCCACGGACUGCAGCUGCAGCUGGGCUAGAAGGGGUGGCCAGGGGAGCCGAUUUCAUCCUUUUCCUUCCUCCACGCCAACCAGGAGCCUCCAUCUGCCUGGGACCCUUUGGGGGCACCCAUGGGCCCACAGCCGCAGAACCACAGCACUGGGUGGGGUUUCAGCCCUGGGGCCAAGCUCUUGUGAGGUCUGUCAUCAUCUUCUCCUGUUGUUUUGUUUUUUUGUUUGUUUGUUUGUUUGGUUUUUUUUUUUUUGAGACAGAGUCUCGCUCUUUCACCCAGGCCGGACUGCAGUGGCGCGAUCUCGGCUCACUGCAAGCUCUGCCUCCCGGGUUCUCGCCAUUCUCCUGCCUCAGCACCCCCGAGUAGCUGGGACUACGGGCGCCGCCACCGCGCCCGGCUAAUUUUUUGUAUUUUUUAGUAGAGACGGGGUUUCACCGUGUUAGCCAGGAUGGUUUCGAUCUCCUGACCUCGUGAUCCACCCACCUUGGCCUUCCAAAGUGCUGGGAUUACAGGCGUGAGCCACCGCGCCCGGCCUGUUUUUGUUUUUUUUUUUUUUGAGACAGUUUUAUUCUGGUUGCCCAGGCUGGAGUGCAGUGGCGCAAUCUUGGCUCACGCAACCUCCGCCUCCCGGGUACAAGCGAUUCUCCUGCCUCAGCCUCCCUAGUAGCUGUGAUUACAGGCACGCACCACCACGCCCGGCUAAUUUUGUAUUUUUAGUAGAGACGGGGUUUCUCCAUGUUGGCCAGGCUGGUCUCCAAUGCCCGAUCUCAGGUGAUCUGCCCACCUCAGCCUCCCAAAGUUCUGCGAUUACAGGCGUGAGUCACCAUGCCUGGCCAGUCUCCUGUUUUUUUAAAAACUUAUUAUUUAGCCGGUGUGGUGUCUCACACCUGUAAUCCUGGCACUUUGGGAGGCCGAGGUGAGCGGAUCACUUGAGGUCAGGUGUUCCAGACCAGCCUGGGCAACAUGGCAAAACCUUGUCUCUACUAAAAAGACAAAAAUUAGCUGGAGGUGCUCUCUUGAACCCAGGAGGCAGAGGUUGCAGUGAACUGAGAUCAUGCCACUGCACUCCAACCCAGGAGGAGGAGGUUGCACUGAGCCAAUAUCAUGCCACUACAUUCCAGCCUGGGCGACAGAGCAAGACUCUGUCCCCCCCAAAAAAAAAACAGAAAAAAAAAAAAAGAAAGAAAUCUGAAGCAAUUAUGACCAAAUGUUAACAUCUGUUUCUUCACGUGGUGGGUACAGGCGUGUUUUGGAAGCUUCUAUGCUUCCUGUAUUUUGAGAUCACACAAAAUUAUGUUUAUUAUCUUAUUGUGCUACAUGAUCUUUGUAGAAAAGUUGGUAAAUUCUGGAAUGCACGAAGAAAAAGAUUAUAAUAGCCAGUAAUACCCCUGCCCAGAGAGACAGUAUCCAUUAAUUUUUCUCUGCCUAUGUUUGUCUUCGGAAAAAUGGGAUACUAUUGGCACUAUUUUAUAACUUUUUAAUUUGUAUUAACACUUUCUAUAUUUUUUAAAUUGAAAAAGCUGGCCAAGCAUGGUGGCUCAGGCCUGUAAACCCAGCCAAUGUGGGAGGAUCGCUUGAGCCCGGGAGUUCAGGAACAGCCUGGGCAUCGUGGCGAGACCACAUUGCUACAAAAAAAAAAAAAAAAAAAAAAAAAAUUAGCCAGGCAUGGUGGUGCACACCUGUGGUUCCAUCUACUCAGGAAGCUGAGGUGGAGGAUCGCUUGAGCCUGGGAGUUUGAGGCUGCAAUAAGCUACGAAUGCACCACUGACCUUCAGCCUGGGCAACACAGCUAGACUCUUGUCUCAGAGAGAGAGAGAGAGAGAGAGAGAGAGCACAAUGAAAAAAAUAAACCUGAUCUUGCACAGAGCAUGUAAUAAAACCUGUGCGUUCUUGGCUAUCUCUCUCUGGUCUCCUCCAGGGUGCUGAAUAAGCUCUUCUCUCUCCAUUCACCCAGGAGAACUCUCUUCUGCUGAUUUUCUGUGGAGCUAGAUCAGGCUGUGACUCAGAAUCUCCCUCCACCUCCACCCUUUCCUAUUUUCCCAACACCAGUGUCAAUCUCAGAUGUCAACAACCCCACGAGUGAGUUCCUCCUGUUGCCAAUACAUCCAGGUCCUGUUCUCCGCUGCUGUCUCUACCCAAUCCCUUCCCUUCCUUCCUCCUGCCAAUCCUGCUUUCCCUGUUUCUUGCUCCUCUGACCUCCUCCGCAUUGCUUGACUGUCUCAGAUACACUCUGGCCUCAGGGUCUUGGCACUUUCUGUUCUCCCUGCCUGGAAGGGUCUUCCUUAGUCAGAUACUGAGGUCACCCAUUGUGUUCAAGUUCCUUUAAUUUAUCUGAAAUGAGUCUGGGCGUGGUGGCUCACGCCUGUAAUCCCAGCACUUUGGGAAGCCAAGCCGGGUGGAUCACUUGAGGCCAGGAGUUCGAGACCAGCCUGGCCAACAUGGUGAAACCCCAUCUCUACUAAAAAUACAGAAAUUAGCUGGGCGUGGUGGCACAAACCUGUGGUCCCAGCUACUCAGGAGGUCGAGGCAGGAGAAUUGCUUGAACCUGGGAGGCGGAGGUUGCAGUGAGCCAAGAUCGUGCCACUGUACUCUAGCCUGGGUGACAGAGUGAGACUCUGUCUCAAAAAAAAAAAAAAAAAAAGAAAAAGAUAAUUUAUCUGAAAUUAUCUGAAAUGCACCACCCUGCCCCCAUCAUUGACUCUCCUGUUGCUGUAGUUUUCUCUGCAGCACUUACCAGUGCUUGAGAAAACCACCCACUCAUUUAUCUUGCUUUCAGUUUCUCUUGCUUUCAGUCUGUCUUCAGUUAAUGAAAGCUUUUUUUUUCUUUCUUUUUUCUUUUUCUAAAACAGAGUCACCCAGGCUGGAGACCAGUGAUGCGAUCACGGCUCACUGCAGACUCGACCUUCUGGGCUCAGGGGAUCCUCCCACACCCCUUGGCCUCCUGGGGAUUGAGACUACAGGCACACACCACCACACCCAGCUAAUUUUUGUAUUUUUUGUAGAGAGAGGGAUUUGUCACCUUGUCCAGGCUGCUCUUGAACUCCUGAGUUCAAGCAAUCCUCCCAACUCAGCCCCUCAAAGUGCUGGGAUUACAGGUGUGAACCACUGCCCCUGGCCUGUUUAUUUAAAAAAUUAACAUUCAUUCUCAGUUUAUUGGCUAAGUUUAGAAGUAGUAUCAGAAUGUUUAAGAGAACUUACUGUUCUCCUUUUAUUUGUAUGUUUGCAUUGUAGAUUUUUAAUAACUGAUAAGGACUUCUCAAGGUGUUUGCUUGGUGGAGACAUUUAAAAAGAUUAAAGAAUAGGCCAGGUGCAGUGGCUCAUGCCUGUAAUCCCAGCACUUUGGGAGGCCGAGGCGGGUGGAUCAAGAGGUCAGGAGAUCGAGACCAUCCUGGCUAACAUGGUGAAACCCCAUCUCUACUAUAAAUACAAAAAAUUACCUGGGUGUGGUGGCACGUGCCUGUAGUCCCAGCUACUCAGGAGGCUGAGGCAGGAGAAUCGCUUGAACCCGGGAGGCAGAGGUUGCAGUGAGCUGAGAUCGCACCAUUGCACUCUAGCCUGGGUGGUAGAGCAAGACUCUGUCUCAAAAAAUAAUAAUAAUAAAUUAAAAGAUUAAAGAAUAAGCUGGCACAGUGGCUCACACCUGUCAUCCCAACACUUUUUGUAGAGACCUCAUCUCUUAAAAAUAAAAUUAGCUGGGCGUGGUUGUGUGCACCUGUAGCCCAGCUACUCAGGAGGCUGAGGUGGGAGCAUUGCUCAGGAGGUCGAGGCUGCAGUGAGCCAUGAUUGCACCACUGCACUCCAGUCUGGGUGACAGAGCUGAUACACUGUCUCUAAAAAAUAAUAAUAAUUGACCGGGCGCAGUGGCUCACGCCUGUAAUCCCAUCACUUUGGGAGGCCGAGGCGGGCGGAUCACGAGGUCAGGAGAUCGAGAGCAACAUGGCUAACACGGUGAAACCCCGUCUCUACUAAAAAUACAAAAAAAUUAGCUGGGCGUGGUGGUGGGCGCCUGUAGUCCCAGCUACUCGGGAGGCUGAGGCAGGAGAAUGGCAUGAACCUGGGAGGUGGAGCUUGCAGUGAGCCAAGAUCGCGCCACUGCACUCCAUCCGGCUUGGGUGACAGAGCGAGACUCCAUCUCAAAAAAAAAAUUAAUAAUAAUAAUUAUUAUUAUAGUAGUAAAAGAGUAUAGAAUAAAAUGCAUCACACUUAUAAAAUGUAAAAUGUUAAUUUCAAUCCACUAAACUUAUAAACGGACCCAAAUAUGCAUCCAAUGACCUCUUAAAGUGAUAUUUCUUUUUCUUUUUGUUGAGAUGGAGUCUCACUCACUCUGUCACCCAAGCUGGAGCGCAGUGGUGUGAUCUUCAGCUCGUCCCAACCUCCGUCUCCCAGGUUCAAGCGAUUCUCCUGACCUCAAGUGAUCCGUCUGCCUUGGCAUCCCAAAGUGCUGGGAUUACAGGCCUGAGGCCAGGCCCUGAAUUAAUUUUUUGAUGUUUCACUUUGCCAGGUGUAUAAGUAACAUGUUAGUUGUGAUUGUAACUAAAUAAAGGCUUAAGG
rnacentral:lncRNA from 1 species